rnacentral:rRNA from 1 species
AACGAACGCUGGCGGCAGGCCUAACACAUGCAAGUCGAGCGCCUCGCAAGAGGAGCGGCGGACGGGUGAGUAACGCGUGGGAACGUGCCCUUUGCUUCGGAAUAGCCCCGGGAAACUGGGAGUAAUACCGAAUGUGCCCGAGAGGGGAAAGAUUUAUCGGCAAAGGAUCGGCCCGCGUUGGAUUAGGUAGUUGGUGGGGUAAUGGCCUACCAAGCCGACGAUCCAUAGCUGGUUUGAGAGGAUGAUCAGCCACACUGGGACUGAGACACGGCCCAGACUCCUACGUGAGGCAGCAGUGGGGAAUAUUGGACAAUGGGCGCAAGCCUGAUCUAGCCAUGCCGCGUGAGCGAUGAAGGCCUUAGGGUUGUAAAGCUCUUUCAGGGGGGAAGAUAAUGACGGUACCCCCAGAAGAAGCCCCGGCUAACUCCGUGCCAGCCGCCGCAGUAAUAC